CAGCAAGGAAGGGUUGGGGACAGGAAUGCUAGUUUUUAUCUCAAGGUCAUGGUAUGAGUUGACUUCAAGCUUUCUCUUAGAAAUAGUUUUCUUCUUUUGGGAGUUUGAAGAAGAACUGAAAUGUAAUUUCUCAUUUUUCAAAAGGCAACAAGAAUACCAAUCACACAAAAUGGAAUACAGACUCACAUAGCAGAAGACAGAGCUGUCAGAAACCCUCCAGAAGAUUACCCACAUGAAGUCUGAAAA